GGGGAGAGCCUCAGUGUUUCCCAGCAGACCAAAGGAUUCCAUAUGGCCUGAGGAUACAGCUCGUUCUCCAUCUCCUUCUUGCCCACGUGGAUGCCCCUUGAUCCCUUAUAGCCCCAAAGAUGCUUCCUGGGGUUACUGAUGCCUAACCAAGAGCGGUGGUUCAUCUAUGGUUUAACCCAACCCUGCCUUCCUCCGUGCUUCUGCCAUACGUCCAUCCCAUGGGGUGAAGAUGAGAGGGUCUGAAACAAAAACAGUUUGGGAUUGCUCCUUCUCAACAUCUGAAUUAUCUCCAAAGCAGCAACAGUGGGAAACACCUCUGGGAGCUGUUUGUGGCCAGGCAACUACCAACUUUGAGAGCAAAAUUUGGGGCUUAAAGCCUUGGGGAAUGCUGACUAUGGGGAAGCAAGAACUGGGAUUGACUCCAAGCAAUGGGAUCUGCACCCAGACCCAACCAGGAUGCUGAGCACAUGCUUGAGUCUUGCUCUGUGCCAACACGCAAAGCCAGGCACAGCAGAAAUCCACAUUAUUCAGUAUGAAUUACUCAAAAUGAGGAACAGGAGAGUGACAGCUUGUGGAAAGCAGGAACUGGAAUGUAUGUGCUUCCCCUGGGAGAGGGGCACAGCAGGGAUCACUGUCCUGAGCUGACCCCAGCGCAUCACUUUGUCACUAGGAUCCCAAGCAGAGUGUUUGGCCAAAGCCUUCAUGUGCUCACUGGUUGCAAGUCAGCCCCCUUGUGAAGGACAGGAGACUGUUUAGACUGCUAUAAUUAGCAAGAAACCUCAUUUAUUCAA